CUUUUGAUGAAUUUGGGGGAGAUUUGGUGGGAAAGUGGGGGAAAUCUUGCCGUUCUUGGCCAGGGAAGCCACAGGCCAAAUCACGUCGGGAGGGGAUUCGAAGGCAAAAAUCUCCACGAGGCACAGGCCAAAUCACGUCCGGAGGGGAUUCGUAGGCAAAAUCUACAGCACGCGCCCACGUUAUCGAAAUUUUUGUGGUAGGCCAAAUCUCGCCAGGAGCACGUGCUCGGGCCAAACCACGUCGGGGGCAGAAAUUCCUCGCGCGCGCCUGCGCACCCGUAUUUUUAAGGUCAUACCGGUUGAAAUUUUUGUUUCGCGGCCUGGACUAGACCUUCCCCUGCCCAUGCCUAGCCAAGGCAAGGUGGCAUUUUGCAAUUCGGGAGCCAAACGGGGGUUUGCUUUUUCGUUUCUUCGGCAAAUGACGCUUAAUAUUCGCAGUUAACGAUUCCCGCGUGCAAAAUUGCCAAAAUUUCUCGGUGGAGGUCCUUUUGAUGUCCCAAACAUGCGUGAAUUUUUGGGGAAUAAGAUUCGUCCCGUGGAUGGGUGCUCAUUUGAAAAAAAAAGUUGCGAGUUUGGGCGUUUCGGUCGAAAAAUCAAAAUAAAUCGAAACGUUGUCGGUUUUCUACGAAACUUUGCAUAUCCUCUAGAUGUAUUUUUAUUGAGGUGCCUGCAAAAAAUCAGCUCAAAAUUCGAUUUCUAGGUCGAUGUUUUGAUGUCACGCUUUCUUUACUUUUUGGCGCGUAAAAAAUUCAUAUUUAAUCCGUCCCUCGUCGGAAAAUUCUAAUUUUUUUGUGGGAGAUGUUUUUUUUAUUUCCCUAACAUGCCUGCAAAAAAAUCCCGGAAAAAUUCAACGUCUAAGUCACUUUUUCGGGACUUUAUGCCUGCAGCGAAAAUUCACACAUUUUUCUACAAAAUUGGAAAUGGCACAUCAAGCAUAUAUAGGGGGAGCACUUUGCUGGGGCAUGGCUGGGGUGCGCCCAGACACUCCCAGGCACUCCCCAACAGGCUGCUCCCCCAAAUCUGCCCCAUUUUCAUCAAUUUGAGCUGCUUUCAUCAAAUUUUUUUGAUAAAUUGGCCACUUUUGAUGAAUUGAGGGGAGAUUUGGUGGGAAAGUGGGGGAAAUCUUGUCGUUCUUAGCCUGGGCAGCCACAGGCCAAAUCACGUCGGGAGGGGAUUCGUAGGCAAAAAUCUCCACGAGGCACAGGCCAAAUCACAUCGGGAGGGGAUUCGUAGGCAAAAUCUUCAGCGCGCGCCCGUGUUAUAGAAAUUUUUGUGGUAGCCCAAAUCACGACGGGAGCACGUGCUCUGGCCAAAACACGUCGGGAGGGGAUUCGUGGGCAAAAAUCUCCACGAGCCGCAGGCCAAUUCACGUCGGGAGGGGAUUCGUAGGAAAAAAUCUCUAGUGCGCGCCCACGUUAUCGAAAUUUUUGUGGUAGGCCAAAUCACGAUGGGAGCACGUGCUCGGGCCAAACCACGUCGGGGGGCGGAAAUUCCUCGCGCGCGCCUGCGCACUAGUAUUAUUAAGGGCAUACCGGUUGAAAUUUUUGUUUCACAGUCUGGCCUAGACCUUCCCCUGCCCAUGCCAAGCCAAGGCAAGGUGGCAUUUUGCAAUUCGGGAGCCAAACGGGGGUUUGCUUUUUCGUUUCUUCGGUAAAUGACGCUUAAAAUAUUCGCAGUUCACGAUUCCCGCGUGCAAAAUUGCCAAAAUUUCUCGUUGGAGGUCCUUUUUAUGUCUUAAACAUGCGUGAAUUUUUGGGGAAUAAGAUUCGUCCCGUGGAUGGGUGCUCAUUUGAAAAAAAAAGUUGCGAUUUUGAGCGUUUCGGUCGAAAAUUCAAAAUAAAUCGAAACGUUGUCGGUUUUCUACGAAACUUUGCAGAUCCUCUAGAUGUAUUUUUAUUGAGGUUCCUGCAAAAAAUCAGCUCAAAAUUCGAUUUCUAGGUCGAUGUUUUGAUGUCACGCUUUCUUUACUUUUUGGCGCGUAAAAAAUUCAUAUUUAAUCCAUCCCUCGUCGGAAAAUUCUAAUUUUUUGUGGGAGAUGUUUUUUUUAUUUCCCUAACAUGCCUGCAAAAAAUCCUGGAAAAAUUCAACGUCUAAGUCACUUUUUCGGGACUUUAUGCCUGCAGCGAAAAUUCACACAUUUUUCUACAAAAUUGGAAAUGGCACAUCAAGCAUAUAUAGGGGGAGAACUUUGCUGGGGCAUGGCUGGGGUGCGCCCAGACACCCCCAGGCAUUCCCCAACAGGCUGCUCCCCCCAAAUCUGCCCCAUUUUCAUCAAUUUGAGCUGCUUUCAUCAAAAAAAAUUGAUAAAUUCGCCACUUUUGAUGAAUUUGGGGGAGAUUUGGUGGGAAAGUGGGGGAAAUCUUGCCGUUCUUGGCCUGGGCAGCCACAGGCCAAAUCACGUCGGGAGCGGAUUCGUAGGCAAAAAUCUCCACGAGGCACAGGCCAAAUCACAUCGGGAUGGGAUUCGUAGGCAAAAUCUCCAGCGCGCGCCCGUGUUAUCGAAAUUUUUGUGGUAGCCCAAAUCACGACGGGAGCACAUGCUCUGGCCAAAACACGUCGGGAGGGGAUUCGUGGGCAAAAAUCUCCACGAGCCACAGGCCAAUUCAAGUCGGGAGGGGAUUCGUAGGAAAAAACACGUCGGGAGGGGAUUCGUGGGUAAAAAUCUCCACGAGGCACAGGCCAAAUCACGUCGGGAGGGGAUUCGUGGGCAAAUAUCUCCAGCGCGCGCCCACGUUAUCCAAAUUUUUGUGGUAGGCCAAAUCACGAUGGGAGCACGUGCUCGGGCCAAACCAAGUCGGGUGGCAGAAAUUCCUCGCGCGCGCCUGCGCACCCGUAUUAUUCAGGUCAUACCGGUUGAAAUUUUUGUUUCACGGUCUGGACUAGACCUUCCCCUGCCCAUGCCAAGCCAAGGCAAGGUGGCAUUUUGCAAUUCGGGAGCCAAACGGGGGUUUGCUUUUUCGUUUCUUCGGUAAAUGACGCUUAAAAUAUUCGCAGUUAACGAUUCCCGCGUGCAAAAUUGCCAAAAUUUCUCGUUGGAGGUCCUUUUGAUGUCCCAAACAUGCGUGAAUUUUUGGGGAAUAAGAUUCGUCCCGUGGAUGGGUGCUCAUUUGAAAAAAAAAGUUGCGAUUUUGCACGUUUCGGUCGAAAAAUCAAAAUAAAUCGAAACGUUGUCGGUUUUCUACGAAACUUUGCAGAUCCUCUAGAUGUAUUUUUAUUGAGGUGCCUGCAAAAAAUCAGCUCAAAAUUCGAUUUCUAGGUCGAUGUUUUGAUGUCACGCUUUCUUUACUUUUUGGCGCGUAAAAAAUUCAUAUUUAAUCCGUCCCUCGUCGGAAAAUUCUAAUUUUUUUGUGGGAGAUGUUGUUUUUAUGUCCCUAACAUGCCUGCAAAUAAUCCCGUAAAAAUUCAACCUCUAAGUCACUUUUUCGGGACUUUAUGCCUGCAGGGAAAAUUCACCCAUUUUUCUACAAAAUUGGAAAUGGCACAUCAAGCAUAUAUAGGGGGAGCACCUUGCUGGGGCAUGGCUGGGGCGCCCCCAGACACCCCCAGGCACUCCCCCCAAAUCUGCCCCAUCUUCAUCAAUUUGAGCUGCUUUCAUCAAAUUUUUUUGAUAAAUUGGCCACUUUUGAUGAAUUUGGGGGAGAUUUGGUGGGAAAGUGUGGGAAAUCUUGCCGUUCUUGGCCUGGGCAGCCACAGGCCAAAUCACGUCGGGAGGGGAUUCUUAGGCAAAAUCUCCAGCGCGCGCGAAAUUUUUGUGGUAGCCCAAAUCACGACGGGAGCACGUGCUCGUGCCAAAACACGUCGGGAGGGGAUUCGUGGGCAAAAAUCUCCACGAGGCACGGGCCAAAUCACGUCGGGAGGGGAUUCGUGGGCAAAAAUCUCCAGCGCGCGCCCACGUUAUCGAAAUUUUUGUGGUAGGCCAAAUCACGAUGGGAGCACGUGCUAGGGCCAAACCAAGUCGGGGGGCAGAAAUUCCUCGCGCGCGCCUGCGCAGCCGUAUUAUUCAGGUCAUACCGGUUGAAAUUUUUGUUUCGCGGUCUGGACUAUACCUUCCC
rnacentral:lncRNA from 1 species